ACGGAGGAUCCAAGCGUUGUCCGGAUUUAUUGGGUUUAAAGGGUGCGCAGGCGGACUUUUAAGUCAGUGGUGAAAGCCGACAGCUCAACUGUCGAACUGCCAUUGAAACUGAAAGUCUUGAAUGCGGUCGAGGUAAAUGGAAUGUGUCAUGUAGCGGUGAAAUGCUUAGAUAUGAUACAGAACACCAAUUGCGAAGGCAGUUUACUAGACCGAUAUUGACGCUCAGGCACGAAAGCGUGGGGAGCGAACAGG
rnacentral:rRNA from 1 species